ensembl:lncRNA
CCGUUGCAGAGUUGGGGCUCAUCCAGGGCAAGGCACAGCCUGCGGUCACUGAGCACAGGGCCAGGCCCCCCAGGGACAGGAGCAUCUCUGUUGCCACCGGCACCAGUCAGGGCAGGCUUGGGGCUGGGGGCACUGUCGGGGGACAGAGAGGGCUCAGCUCGUGGACCACCACCUCCCUGCCCCAGCCACAGCAGCGCCCUGCUCAGGGCACCUGGGUCGGGAGUCAAGGGUCUGGACACUGAGCAGAGGCACAAAGGGGCAGGCGCAGAAGGGGCAUGUCGUGUUGAGGUUGGAGUCGUCAGGGGCAGUGGAUCCGGGGCGCUCCCGGGGCCGCAGCAGGCUGUCCAUGGGGCUGCAGCGAGCUGGGGCAAGCAGGUUGGAGGGCAGCUCAGCCAGGGGCACGUGUGAGGUAGGGGACCGGCGGGAAGGCGUGAGCAGCUGCUGCAGGCGGGCACCCAGGCCUCGUCGGGGGGUGCCCACCCUCCCACUUCAGGAUCCUUGGGUAUCUCCAGUUAGAACCCAAGUGGCGGUGGGCAGCAGCUCCAGCUAUCCCAUGCCUUCUGCGGCGGAGCCGGAGCCGGAGCCAGAAUCAGGCCCCGAAGUCUUUCCGCUACUUUCUCACCUGCCUCCAUGGCCCGACCCCGGAAGUAGGAGCCCCAAGGGUCCUGAGGCGCCCCAGGGUGCAGAAGCUGGGAGAGCCUGGCGGGUGGCCUGCAGCAGGGGCCGGGAGGCUGGGGUGCUUCGGAGGGGAAGGGAGGUGACUUCCUGAAACAGUGAGGGGAAGCUACAGCCCGGCAGAAGUCAGCCUAUGGGUGUGAGCGGCGGCGCGGGGUGGCUGGGGAGGGGUGGCGCGGCGAAGGGGCCAGCGCAGCAUCCCACCAGGCAGGCAGGGCCGGGGCCGAGGGCCGAGCGGGAGCGGAGGCUGCGCCUGGCGCUCCCGGGGGCGGGGGCUCGGGACUAGCUCUGCCUAACCCGGCCUCCGGACACCCGAGCCCGGCCCGCUAAAUUUAGCCCCCGCGUCUGGGAAGUGAAGUCAGGCGCGGGGCCAGCCCUGGAUUCACGGGUCACGGAUCCCUCCCUCACGUGCUGGGGGCAAGUGCGCGGCCCGGGCCUGAGCGGCGGGUAAAGGCCACCGGUGGGGCGGCCUCGAGGGCAGGCGCGGCCCCUCCGCGGCCGGCGCAAGGCGGGAAGCGCGCAGGGCGAGGCCGUGAUGGCAGCGCGUGACCGCGGGGGUGCGGCCGGCGCCCUCCCUGCCUCCCUCACUUCCCCAGCGGAGGAGGCGGGACCGACGCGCAGGGCACAGCUGGGGUAGCCCCCGCCCCGGACCCGCCCCGGCCCGGCCCGGCCCGGCCCGGCCCCUACCUGCCUGCCUCCCCGGCCCGCGGCGGGGCUCGAGGGCGGGCUGGCUACCCGGCCCCGGGCAUGGCGCCCCGGGCGGCGAGCGGAGAAAAGCGGGGCACGGGGCUGGGGGGCGGCCCGCAGCGCUGCGCCACGCUACGCCACGCCACGCGGGGACUGAGCUGCCGCCAGCGAGUGGGGCCUGUCCGCUCCCGCGGCGCCCCGCUUUCUCCGCCCCCACCCUCCGGACCGCGGGCGCCGCCGCCGCCGUCGCCCCUGGCCCGCCGGCCGUGACCCUGGCUAGCGC